rnacentral:rRNA from 1 species
AUUGAACGCUGGCGGCAGGCCUAACACAUGCAAGUCGAGCGGUAGCACAGAGAGCUUGCUCUCGGGUGACGAGCGGCGGACGGGUGAGUAAUGUCUGGGAAACUGCCCGAUGGAGGGGGAUAACUACUGGAAACGGUAGCUAAUACCGCAUAACGUCGCAAGACCAAAGAGGGGGACCUUCGGGCCUCUUGCCAUCGGAUGUGCCCAGAUGGGAUUAGCUAGUAGGUGGGGUAACGGCUCACCUAGGCGACGAUCCCUAGCUGGUCUGAGAGGAUGACCAGCCACACUGGAACUGAGACACGGUCCAGACUCCUACGGGAGGCAGCAGUGGGGAAUAUUGCACAAUGGGCGCAAGCCUGAUGCAGCCAUGCCGCGUGUAUGAAGAAGGCCUUCGGGUUGUAAAGUACUUUCAGCGGGGAGGAAGGUGUUGAGGUUAAUAACCUCAGCAAUUGACGUUACCCGCAGAAGAAGCACCGGCUAACUCCGUGCCAGCAGCCGCAGUAA